AAACUCCUUUGUUCCUCUACGAAGAAACCAGCCGAUGACUUAAGCCAGUCAAAAAAGUGUUUAUGUAUUAUCACCUUUAGGAACGGGUCACGGUGUAAUAAUUACAAGAGAAAACGCACAAAUGAGUAGAAAGACGAGGAUUUCAUCCAAAAAAGCAAAAGUAGAGUUUCCCCAAAAGCUGUAAAUAUGAAUUUAACAGCCUGUUCCACGAUCUUGAAAGAACAUGCUCGCAUAACUUUUACGACAAACAGCUGAUUUCCGUUCCACUAAAAUCCAUCAGAACGAAAAAUUUUACGAAAAUCAAAGCGAACGAAAAGGUAAGCAUUUCUGUGCAAUUUUGCGUUCCACUAUCUUUUUUCUUUCGUACGCAUGCGAACACAAAUGUCAAAAUCAGUCACUUGUGUGUUUGCUGUCGUAUGACUACAAUUCAGGAAAUUAUUUCAAAAUAAAUAUUGCUUGAUUAAAAAUGGAAACAAAAAGUUCCAACACGAAAAAAUCCUCAACUGCACAUCAACGGGCACUAAUUGAAUAUAUGGAGGAGAAUCCUGAGUUCGCCAGAGGAGUGCCAAUUUUUGGAAGCAGAAGGCAAUCCCUUGAAGACCAUUGGAAAAAAUU